UGGUGGAGUGAUUUGUCUGGUUGAUUCCGUUAACGAACGAGACCUUAACCUGCUAACUAGUCGUUGCUUGCAUAAAGCAAUUGACUUCUUAGAGGGACUAUGCGUUCUAGCGCAUGGAAGUUUGAGGCAAUAACA
rnacentral:rRNA from 1 species